UGAAUGCAGACACGAGUAGCGAUAAACCAGAUGAGAAUUCUGGUCGCCGUAAACCCAAGGUUUCCUGGGCCAGGUUCGUCCUCCCAGGGUUAGCCGGGAGCUAAGAUGAGGCCGUAAGGCGUAAUCGAUGCACAUCAGGUUAAAUAUUCCUGAGCUGGCUAGGGUUAAGACUAUAAGAUGACGCACCGGGAUUACAUCAACUAGGCAAUCGAAUGCUGAGCUUAGGCUUCGGCCGAAGCGAAUUGGUGGGGUCCUGUGCCUAGAAAAGUCUGUAGUUGUUCCCCUAGUUACCCGUACCGUAAACCGACACAGGUGGGUGAGUGUAAGCGCACUCAGGCGCGCGAGAGAGACCUCUCUAAGGAACUCGGCACAUUAGCCUCGUAACUUCGGGAGAAGAGGUGCCCACUUCGGUGGGUCUCAGUAAAUUGCGUUUAGCGACUGUUUAACAAAAACACAGCACUCUGCCAAGUCGUGAAGACGACGUAUAGGGUGUGACACGUGACCAAUGCGGAAAGAUUAAAACAUCGGGUCAGCCGUAAGGCAAAGCUCGGUGUCCAAGUCCCCGUGAAUGUCGGCCGUAACUAUAACGGUCCUAAGGUAGCGAAAUUCCUUGUCGGGUAAGUUCCGACCUGCACGAAUCGUGUAACGACUGAACGACUGUCUCGGAGAGGAUCUCGGCGAAACUGUAACGGCGGUGAAGAUGCCGCCUGCCCGCAGUAGGACGGAAAGACCCUAUGCACCUUUACUGUAAGCUCGUAUUGUGUUCUGAUUAAUUAUGCGUAGCGUAGGUGGGAGACUUUGAAGGGAGUGCUUCGGUAUUCCUGGAGUCGCAAUGUGAAACACCACUCUUAGCUAAUUAGGAUUCUAACUCCAUGCUGUAAGCCAGCUGGGGGACAGUGCGUGCGGGUCAGUUUGACUGGGGCGGUUUCCUCCCAAAUGGUAACGGAGGAGCGCAAUGCUUGGCUCAGUACGGUUGGCAACCGUACGUUGAGGGUAUGGCUAGAAGCCAGGCUAACUGUGAGACCUACAAGUCGAGCAGGUACGAAAGUAGGCCCAAAUGAUCCGACGUUUUAAUGUGGAAUUGACGUCGCUCAACGGACAAAAGGUACGCUAGGGAUAACAGGCUGAUCGGAUCCAAGAGUUCAUAUCGACGAUCCGGUUUGGCACCUCGAUGUCGGCUCAUCGCAUCCUGGGGCUGGAGAAGGUCCCAAGGGUCCGGCUGUUCGCCGGUUAAAGCGGUACGCGAGCUGGGUUCAGAACGUCGUGAGACAGUUCGGUCCUUAUCCACUGUGGGCGCAGGAAACUUGAGGGGUUCUAACCUUAGUACGAGAGGACCGGGUUAGACGCACUUCUGGUGUGGCAGUUGUUCCGUCAGGGGCAUCGCUGCGUAGCCAUGUGCGGAAGAGAUAAGCGCUGAAAGCAUCUAAGUGCCAAGCUCAUCCCAAGAUAUUGUUUCCCGGAGCGUAAGCUCCCUAAAGACCACGGGCAGACCACCCGUUUGAUAGGCUGGACGUGUAAGUGGAGUAAUCCAUUCAGCCGACCAGUACUAAUCGGUCGUGCGGCUUGAUUGC
rnacentral:rRNA from 1 species